GACGAACGCUGGCGGCGUGCUUAACACAUGCAAGUCGAACGGUAAGGCCAUUCGGGGUACACGAGUGGCGAACGGGUGAGUAACACGUAGGUGAUCUGCCCUGCACGUCGGGAUAAGCCUGGGAAACUGGGUCUAAUACCGGAAAAGACCACGGCCUGCAGGGGAGGUGGUGGAACGCUUUUGCGGUGUGGGAUGGGCCCGCGGGCUAGCAGCGUGAUGGGGGGGUGAUGGCCUAGCAAGGCGACGGCGGGUAGCCGGCGGGAGCGGGGGACCGGCAACACUGGGACCGAGAUACGGCCCAGACUCCGCCGGGAGGCAGCAGGGGGGAAGAUUGCACAAUGGGCGCAAGCCGGACGAAGCGCUGACGCGGGGGGGCUGACGGCGUUCGGGUGGUAAACGUCUUGCAGCACCGACGAAGCGCAAGUGACGGUAGGUGCAGAAGAAGGACCGGCUAAUUACGUGCCAGCCGCCGCAGUAA
rnacentral:rRNA from 1 species